UUGACCUCGGAUCAGGUAGGGAUACCCGCUGAACUUAAGCAUAUCAAUAAGCGGAGGAAAAGAAACCAACCGGGAUUGCCUCAGUAACGGCGAGUGAAGCGGCAAGAGCUCAAAUUUGAAAGCUGGCUCCUUCGGGGUCCGCAUUGUAAUUUGCAGAGGAUGCUUCGGGUGCGGCCCCUGUCUAAGUGCCCUGGAACGGGCCGUCAGAGAGG
rnacentral:rRNA from 1 species